rnacentral:rRNA from 1 species
AAACUUGAGAGUUUGAUCCUGGCUCAGAACGAACGCUGGCGGCAGGCCUAACACAUGCAAGUCGAACGUGAAGCAGGAGCUUGCUCCUGUGGAAAGUGGCAGACGGGUGAGUAACGCGUGGGAAUUUACCCAGCUCUACGGAAUAACGCAGGGAAACUUGUGCUAAUACCGUAUACGCCCUUCGGGGGAAAGAUUUAUCGGAGUUGGAUGAGCCCGCGUUAGAUUAGUUUGUUGGUGGGGUAAUGGCCUACCAAGACUACGAUCUAUAGCUGGUCUGAGAGGAUGAUCAGCCACACUGGGACUGAGACACGGCCCAGACUCCUACGGGAGGCAGCAGUGGGGAAUAUUGCACAAUGGGCGCAAGCCUGAUGCAGCCAUGCCGCGUGAGUGAA